ensembl:lncRNA
GGCUUUUGCUUUCUCAACUCUUGACAAGAGGAUGCUGCAGUGGGGCUGCUAGGAACAAGAUAACAGUUUUGGUUUCAUGGCCUGUGUUAGGAAAACAAGUGCAAAGGUCAGGCUCUCUUGAGGCGAUGUCCUUGCUCCCCUGAAGGCAGAGGGAGCAUCACCAUUGACUCAGCCCAGGGGAUAUGCAUGGUUUAACUUAUUCCAGCAGAGGAGAAGGAUCAUCUCCAGCUGCUCUGGGCCGAUAGGAGCCAAAUCCAGGAAAUGUGUUUGUUGUCUCCCCGUCUCACUCAGGUUGCCUUGCUAAGUGCUGCAAAGCUGCUGUUGGCCUUGGGCUGCAGAGGGCUGUGCAGAAAGUGCCUUUACCCAGCUGCAUCAGCCUAAGGAGCAUCCCCAGAGCAUCACUGGAGAAAGCAUUGUGAAAUGGGUGUUUUCUUGUCAUGGGGAGAUACCCAGCCCUGUGUGAGCUGUACUCCAUUCCAUCAGUCCCUGUUAGCACCUGCAUCUUUCCCAAGGCGUGGUUCUGUAUUUCCUUAUCAGGAGCAGCACUUUUGCUGGGCAGGAGUGGACCAGAGCAGAACAAAGAUAAGCAGGAGAUCUGGUUUGCACAAUCACACCUAUGGAGAAGCACGCAGAGGUUGGGAGAUGGUUAUCACCGACCACGUGUCAACAUCUUCAAAACUCAUCUCGAUCGGUUUCUCUGUGCUUCGCAGUUGCUAAUUGCUUUCACCCCGCACGCGUGGCCCGAUGCACUCUCUGAGUUACUGAACCUGAGGACCUGCUACAGAUGGGAAAGCUGAGGUGCAGAGGGUUUAAGGGCCUCAUUCUUCUUUUGUGACCUACAGCCUCAACGAGAGUUUUUACAGAAAUGGAACACCACGGAACAGCAAAUUUGGGACCCCUGUCACUUGACAAAAGAAAUGUUUGGCUCAGAAUGCUAUUUUUCUUAAAUGUAUCUUUCAGCCACUGUCAUUAAAAUUGUUGAAUAGCUUUAGGAACCUGUUUUGUCAACUACCUUGGGGACAAGUAUGAAAUACUGGGCUGUUAAACGUGCGCCACAGAAAAUGAACUGCGCCGUGCAUGAGCCGCGGGAGGAGCACACCUCGGCUCCUCGUGGACCCUCCCCACUGCUGCAGCAGCUUUAAUUAGCUGGGAUUAGGUAUUCCCAACUCAGGGAGAUGCUCUUCAUAAAUAUUUGUUUGCACUUAAAAGCAGAUUUCUGCAAAGGUUCUGGUGCUGGCAGUUUCCCUGCAGGAGCCAAAGUGGGGAUGCAAUGCCCAGAGGUGCACGAUGUGCGCAGCCCAUGUUGUGCACUGAGGACACUUCAUCAGCCAAGUUUUGGGUUAUUUCUUCAAGUAGGGCAUUGGUGGGGCUGAUUCUUACAUUUUUAGAUAUAUUUAGUAUGUAAAAAAAUGUGUACACCACUGUGCAUUAAACUGAACUGCACAAAUGAAUUUUGUGCCUGAGAGCAAGAAUAUUCAUUGUAUACAUUAAUGCUUCCUCAUUUCUAAUUAUUUAUUUCUAAAUAUGGGUGAAGCUGCCUGUCUCUGGAGGGGGGUAUUGCAAUUGUGUGAGGUUAUGUUUGGAUGGAUAGAAGUGUUUUACUCCCACAAUAUUCCUUUUUAAAUAAAUAUGUAGUGAUAAGCCA